UACGAAGGGAGCUAGCGUUGUUCGGAAUCACUGGGCGUAAAGCGCACGUAGGCGGACGUGUCAGUCAGGGGUGAAAUCCCGGAGCUCAACUUCGGAACUGCCUUUGAUACAGCACGUCUUGAGUCCGGAAGAGGUGGGUGGAAUUCCUAGUGUAGAGGUGAAAUUCGUAGAGUAUUAGGAAGAACACCGGUGGCGAAGGCGGCCCACUGGUCCGGUACUGACGCUGGAGGUGACGAAAGCGUGGGGAGCAAACAGG
rnacentral:rRNA from 1 species